rnacentral:rRNA from 1 species
AUUGAACGCUGGCGGCAUGCUUUACACAUGCAAGUCGAACGGCAGCGCGAGGCAACCUGGCGGCGAGUGGCGAACGGGUGAGUAAUACAUCGGAACGUACCCAGAAGUGGGGGAUAACGUAGCGAAAGUUACGCUAAUACCGCAUACGUUCUACGGAAGAAAGUGGGGGAUCUUCGGACCUCAUGCUUUUGGAGCGGCCGAUGUCUGAUUAGCUAGUUGGUGAGGUAAAGGCCCACCAAGGCGACGAUCAGUAGCUGGUCUGAGAGGACGACCAGCCACACUGGGACUGAGACACGGCCCAGACUCCUACGGGAGGCAGCAGUGGGGAAUUUUGGACAAUGGGCGCAAGCCUGAUCCAGCCAUGCCGCGUGCGGGAAGAAGGCCUUCGGGUUGUAAACCGCUUUUGGCAGGAACGAAACGGCGACUCCUAAUACGGGUGGCUAAUGACGGUACCUGCAGAAUAAGCACCGGCUAACUACGUGCCAGCCGCCGCGGUAACAC